rnacentral:rRNA from 1 species
GUGAACGCUGGCGGUAGGCCUAACACAUGCAAGUCGAACGGCAGCACAGUAAGAGCUUGCUCUUACGGGUGGCGAGUGGCGGACGGGUGAGGAAUACAUCGGAACCUACUUUUUCGUGGGGGAUAACGUAGGGAAACUUACGCUAAUACCGCAUACGACCUACGGGUGAAAGCAGGGGAUCUUCGGACCUUGCGCGAUUGAAUGAGCCGAUGUCGGAUUAGCUAGUUGGCGGGGUAAAGGCCCACCAAGGCGACGAUCCGUAGCUGGUCUGAGAGGAUGAUCAGCCACACUGGAACUGAGACACGGUCCAGACUCCUACGGGAGGCAGCAGUGGGGAAUAUUGGACAAUGGGCGCAAGCCUGAUCCAGCCAUACCGCGUGGGUGAAGAAGGCCUUCGGGUUGUAAAGCCCUUUUGUUGGGAAAGAAAAGCAGCAGGUUAAUACCCCGCUGUUCUGACGGUACCCAAAGAAUAAGCACCGGCUAACUUCGUG